UAUCUACCGGUAUUAUAUUUUUUCUUUACAUAUUAGUAUCCUGUAGGGACCCUCUUUAACGUUCCUGUGUAACUAGUUUUUACCCGUAGUGUACCUCUCUGGACACGGUGUCAGCUAUAGUACGUAUUGGUCAGUUCUUUUCUAUUGUUCGAUUACUUUAUUUAAACUGCCGCAUUGCAGACCUGGCAGACAGUGGCCACGUUUUCUCCAUGACAGGUAUGAGCAGCUAAGGUUUUGAGUAACCCUUUCUCCUAUUAGGGGUCCCUAUCCAGUUUCUGGCAGUCCAUCGCCGUGGUUAUACCUGUCCGCCACUGUCUCACGCCAUGCCAUAUCUACCCACUACUCUUCUACAUGCCUGUGACGAAGACUAUGGACAUCAGAAAACUUAAAUAUCUUAUUGUUUAUAAUAUGUAUAUUUGUUUGGUUUUAUUUUAUAUAAAAAUUGUAAAUAUAAAA